rnacentral:rRNA from 1 species
UACAGAGGUCUCAAGCGUUGUUCGGAUUCAUUGGGCGUAAAGGGUGCGUAGGCGGUCGGGUAAGUCUGACGUGAAAUCUCCAAGCUCAACUUGGAAAUGGCGUCGGAUACUAUUCGGCUCGAGGAAUGGAGGGGAGACUGGAAUUCUCGGUGUAGCAGUGAAAUGCGUAGAUAUCGAGAGGAACACCAGUGGCGAAGGCGAGUCUCUGGACAGUUCCUGACGCUGAGGCACGAAGGCCAGGGGAGCAAACGGG